rnacentral:lncRNA from 1 species
AAGGAGCUCCCACAUCCCCAGGAGUCCAAGGGUUGCCAUUCUUCCUCCUUCUGUCUCUGUGAUGUCACCACUACAAUGUUGUCAUAUUGUGAACUGUUCUGGUAAGUUACAAAUUUUUCCACAGAAAAGAAGAGAAAGGGCUACCCAAAAAAUGGGAGAGGAAAAACUAAUCGGGAGUUAUCUGGUUGUGAGGUGUAUUAACUUCUUAGGUGAAGUAAAAUGCUUUGAAACAAGGUCUGCUGGUGGAAAUAAAUGAAAGGAGGAGAAAUCCUGUGUGUGACAGCACAAAUGCAAAAAUAAAACCAAAAACAACAAUAAGAAAGCAGAAGUGGAAGGAAAAGAAUCUUAGCUUGAGUCAACCAACUUGUUACCAGAAGAUGUUAGCAGAGCUCAAAUCCUUAUGAACCCAAACUCCCAAGCCACUGGAUCCGGUGAGAUGGCUGGAACUCAGCAGGGUCAGCAUGAGGAACACCGCGAGGACUGCUGAAACACCACAUUCCCAUGGCUGCCGCAGGACAGCGGGGUGGCUGGAAGGCACAGUGUCUGUGAAACUGUGGUCCUCGGCAAGGGGUGUGACCUCAUGGUGGGUCGCCUGACCUAUGAGCAGAGAUGGAAGGAAGAAUGCCAAUUUGGAGGCAGAUGUGGGAAGUAGGAGUGCUGUGGCAACACGGUGUGGAAAUAGGGAGUUCUCUUCAGGCGUGAUGCUCACAGUUUAC